rnacentral:rRNA from 1 species
AGCGAACGUUUGCGGCGGGCCUAACACAUGCAAGUCGAACGCACUAGCAAUAGUGAGUGGCGCACGGGUGCGUAACACGUGGGUAAUCAACCCUUCAGCCUGGGAUAACGACUCGAAAGGGUCGCUAAUACCGGAUACGGCGCGAGAGGCUUCGGCUUCUCACGAGAAAGCCACGCAAGGGGCACUGAAGGACGAGCCUGCGGCCCAUCAGCUAGUUGGUGAGGUAAGAGCUCACCAAGGCUAAGACGGGUAGCUGGUCUGAGAGGAUGAUCAGCCACACUGGAACUGAGACACGGUCCAGACUCCUACGGGAGGCAGCAGUGGGGAAUAUUGCGCAAUGGGCGAAAGCCUGACGCAGCCACGCCGCGUGAGCGAUGAAGGCCUCGGUCGUAAAGCGUCUGUGGGAGGAGACGAAGAAAGACCUGUGAAGAGCAGGCCUUGACGGUAGUCUCCUUAGCAAGCACCGGCGUAACUCCGUG